AUACGUAGGGGACGAGCGUUGUCCGGAAUUACUGGGCGUAAAGGGCGCGCAGGCGGUAUAUCAAGUCAGCUGUCAAAGACUGGGGCUCAACCUUGGUAUGCGGUUGAAACUGAUAUGCUGGAGUGCUGUAGAGGCAAGUGGAAUUCCCAGUGUAGCGGUGAAAUGCGUAGAUAUUGGGAAGAACACCGGUGGCGAAGGCGACUUGCUGGGCAGCAACUGACGCUGAGGCGCGAAAGCCAGGGGAGCAAACGGGAUUAGAUACCCUGGUAGUCCACACUGUAAACGAUGAAUGCUAGGUGUAGGGGGUAUCGACCCCUUCUGUGCCGCAGUCAACACAAUAAGCAUUCCGCCUGGGGAGUACGGCCGCAAGGUUGAAACUCAAAGGAAUUGGCGGGG
rnacentral:rRNA from 1 species